rnacentral:SRP_RNA from 15 species
GCCCAGGGCUGGAAUAUAGCAGCAAUGGCGCAG